rnacentral:tRNA from 1 species
GCGCCCGUAGUUUAGCUGGACAGAACGUCGGCUUGCGGAGCCGAAGAUCAGAGGUUCGAAUCCUCUCGGGCGCACCA